rnacentral:rRNA from 1 species
GCCUGACGCAGCGACGCCGCGUGGGUGAUGAAGGCCUUCGGGUCGUAAAGCCCUGUCGAGGGGAACGAAACGGCUCCGACCUAAUACGUCGGGGCCCUGACGGUACCCCUAAAGGAAGCACCGGCUAACUCCGUGCCAGCAGCCGCGGUAAUACGGAGGGUGCAAGCGUUGUUCGGAAUCACUGGGCGUAAAGGGCGUGUAGGCGGCCGGCUAAGUCUGAUGUGAAAGCCCGGGGCUCACCCCCGGAAGGGCAUUGGAUACUGGCAGGCUCGAGUCCCGGAGAGGAGGGUGGAAUUCCUGGUGUAGCGGUGAAAUGCGUAGAUAUCAGGAGGAACACCGGUGGCGAAGGCGUCCCUAUGGACGGUGACUGACGCUGAGACGCGAAAGCGUGGGGAGCAAACAGGAUUAGAUACCCUGGUAGUCCACGCUGUAAACGAUGAGCACUAGGUGUCGUGGGUAUUGACCCCCGCGGUGCCGUAGCUAACGCAUUAAGUGCUCCGCCUGGGGACUACGGCCGCAAGGUUA